UGGGGAAUAUUGCACAAUGGGCGCAAGCCUGAUGCAGCCAUGCCGCGUGUGUGAAGAAGGCCUUCGGGUUGUAAAGCACUUUCAGCGAGGAGGAAGGUGGUGAGCUUAAUACGCUCAUCAAUUGACGUUACUCGCAGAAGAAGCACCGGCUAACUCCGUGCCAGCAGCCGCGGUAAUACGGAGGGUGCAAGCGUUAAUCGGAAUUACUGGGCGUAAAGCGCACGCAGGCGGUUUGUUAAGUCAGAUGUGAAAUCCCCGGGCUCAACCUGGGAACUGCAUUUGAAACUGGCAAGCUAGAGUCUCGUAGAGGGGGGUAGAAUUCCAGGUGUAGCGGUGAAAUGCGUAGAGAUCUGGAGGAAUACCGGUGGCGAAGGCGGCCCCCCUGGANGAAGACUGGCGCUCAGGUGCGAAAGCGUGGGGAGCAAAACAGGAUUAGAUACCCUGGUAGUCUACGCUGUAAAACGAUGUCGAUUUGGAGGUUGUGCCCUUGAGGCGUGGCUUCCGGAGCUAACGCGUUAAAUCGACCGCCUGGGGAGUACGGCCGCAAGGUUAAAACUCAAAGGAAUUG
rnacentral:rRNA from 1 species